AGGCGUAUGUGCAACUGAACCUUCAAGUAGAGACAUAAGAUGAUUUUUAACUUUGAUUAGAAGCUUUUCAAGAUAAUCUCUUCCUGUUUUGUCCUCUGGCAAGAGCUCCCCUUCCUUCAUUUGGUCACAGAGUGGUUUUCUUUUAAAAGAACUAUUCAGCUUUUGGAAAACCGACAAGAAGAAACUGAGAGAAUUCACACACCACAGAAAACUGGGUACACAGCUGCUACUAAACUUCAUUGUCCUUUUAUCUCCAGCCUCUCCACCAACAGAAAGACACAGAAGGAAAGAGAAAGAGAGACAGAGAAUGAAUCUGAAGUCUGAAACCUUGUAGUUCGUUUGAACCAGUCAGUUCUUGUUCAGAAAGGAAGAGGAAGGGCAGGAGUGGCUAUUGGCGCCAGAGGGAGGGUUAGUGACUCAGUCCUACCCUCCUAACAGAUUAAACACCAAGGAACACAAGCCUUGGAACCAGACCUGGCUCUGACCCUCUGCCCCGCCCCUUGUAGUGUGACAGGGAAGCUCCAGUUCCCUUAUCAUACCUCAAUUUUAUCCAUAAAGUGGCGACAUGAGGAAAAUGCCCAGCAUUUAACUAACGAUCUUCUGUUGGUCCCUUCUGGUAGGGCCGAGGAGACCCCAGCAUCACGGUACCACCUACUCAUCCUCCAAUAUCCAGCUGGCACCUCCUCUGGGAAGACUUCCUGGAUAUUUCAGGUUGAUUUAGCAGCAUGCUAUGUGUAUCACACUGAAAUGGCCUACAUCCAGAAGCUGACACAUGGUAAAGAAUUAAAAGUUUCUUGAAAGAAUGCAUUAAUGCAACUUAUUUUCUGCUUCUAUUGUUUUUCUUGUAGUAUACCAACUAGGACACUUUUUGAAGAAACUGCAAUUCUUCUCAGCAUUCAAUUCUGUCCAGUGGCAAAGGUGAUCAGGAGAUUCAAAGUAGUAAAAAUAAUCCCCAAAGUAGUGCUACCACUAGGCCCUGGAAACCAACCUCACAUACUAAAGACAGACUGAAGAUCUGCAUUGAGCUAAGCCCUAAUUAUGUUCAGUGUUCUUAACUUUGAAUCUAGACUCCCAGGCUUUGUACUAUGCCGUAACCAAUUGGGCAACUAAAUGAUGACCGGUACAGCACAGCUGCUAAGAUCACAGACUAAUCCAAACUGCCCGGGUCUGUACCUUGCUUCAGCCACUGUCUAGCUGUGUGUCUUGGGCAAGUUAGUUAAUCCCUUUAUGCCUCAGUUUGCUUAUCUGUAAGAUGGGAACAAUAUUAACAGUACUGACCUCAUAGAAUAAAUGAUUUCACAUACGUGAAUGGUUACAACAGUGCUUUGCACAAAUUAAGUACUACUUAACCAGCUAUUUUUUGUAUUUCUUCUAUUAACUGGCAAACACAGAGAGAGAGGAAUAUCUAAGAAGCAAAUCAGAGGUAAUUUCAGGGUGUCUCUUUGCUGUGUGGAGACACUCCUGGCUCUCCUAGUGCCCACUUAAUUAAUUCACAGAUCAGAAUUGCAAGACCUAUGUCUAAUAUUGCCAGGGGUCUGCAGAAGAGACAUUGUCCUCCUUCCAGCUGGCUCCUCCAACACAGCCAAAGCAACAUGGGUUGUUCAUUCCUUACACAUCAACUAUAGCUGUGGGAACAAUGAGUUCUGCCUUUUUUUCCCUGUCCACUGCUUUCAUAUUUAAGGUUGCUCCUGUGUCAGUAGUGAUUAUCUCAGAAGAUCUCCCUGUAUAUAAGGCCCCAUGAACAAGAAAAUUUUGUAUCAAUUAACAAGAGACAAGCUUAGGGGAAGAAGUGCUUCCUGAACAUCACCUGCAGACUAGACUAUAGCACUCUUGUGGGAUCCCAACAAAUACGUCGUCCACCCCGCUCCCAACUAUUUAAAGAAUAUUUGAAAGCACUCGAAUUCUUUGGCAUAAACACUCUUUGAAAUGCAAGUUAUGUCGAAUCCUAGAAUUUUACUUCUGGAAGAUGUGGUGGGAGAUUAUAUAAAAUGGGGAAUCAGUGACCCAGCACCAUGGCUUCCCAGCUCCUCUGCACGCCCCCCCAUAUUUCCCAACCCUUGCAUUUGAAAUUUAAAAUGUUCUUUAAAAAAUUAAAGGCUUUCAGUGUUGAGUGAUAGUCACGCACUGCAUAAGGAUAUUUCAGUCAACAAUGGACCAAAUAUAUGACAGUAGUCGCGUAAGAUUAUAAUGAAGCUGAAAAAUUCCUACAGCCUAAUGAUGUCACAGCUGUCAUGUCAUAGCAUUUUUUUUAAAUAUAGUGUAGCCUAAGUUUAUAAUAUUUAUAAAGUCUACAAUAGUGUAACGUCCUAGGCCUUCACAUUCACUCACCACUCACUGACUCACCCAGAGCAACUUCUAGUCCCACAAGCUCCAUGCA
rnacentral:lncRNA from 1 species